UGGGGAAUAUUGCACAAUGGGCGCAAGCCUGAUGCAGCCAUGCCGCGUGUAUGAAGAAGGCCUUCGGGUUGUAAAGUACUUUCAGCGGGGAGGAAGGGAGUAAAGUUAAUACCUUUGCUCAUUGACGUUACCCGCAGAAGAAGCACCGGCUAACUCCGUGCCAGCAGCCGCGGUAAUACGGAGGGUGCAAGCGUUAAUCGGAAUUACUGGGCGUAAAGCGCACGCAGGCGGUCUGUCAAGUCGGAUGUGAAAUCCCCGGGCUCAACCUGGGAAAUGCAUUCGAAACUGGCAGGCUAGAGUCUUGUAGAGGGGGGUAGAAUUCCAGGUGUAGCGGUGAAAUGCGUAGAGGUCUGGAGGAAUACCGGUGGCGAAGGCGGCCCCCUGGACAAAGACUGACGCUCAGGUGCGAAAGCGUGGGGAGCAAACAGG
rnacentral:rRNA from 1 species